UUUUUCAUGAAGAAAAAAAUUGCUUAAGGUGCAGGGACGUCAUCAACCACCCCAAUCCCGAAUUAGGUUUCAGAUUCGUCAGUCUCCCUCUUCAACUCCAACGCCGCACCAAGCCGUUCAAGGAGACGACCACCGCGCCGCAACAGGCUUCAACCCCAAUGCCACACCGCGCCGCCAAAGAGUUCAUGAACUACGAACCAUCGCGCCCUUCCACGAACCACCACACCCUAGCACGAUCUCGUUCCUUUACGACGAUCGACACAACGACGAGAAGGAACCGGUAAGUGGUUGUGGCGAAGAUGCGGUUUCGCAUAGAAAGGCAGCUUCAGGGCACCAACACAAGGUUGUGGUGGCGACUUGCAUCCUUUACCAUCGAUGGAGAUGGACAAGCGACGACGGAGAAAAACGUGAGCAACGGUGGCUUGCGAUUUCGCGCUGGCAGCGACUCCGAUAAUUGGUUCGGGUACAGGGUGUUAACGCCGUUAAUGGCGUUGGGUGCAGAAAGAUUAGGGAUCUGUUGUUGAGAAAUGGAAACUUUGAUCCAUAAACCCUAAUUUUAAAAUUAGGAUUCUUCAAUUGGGAUUAAUUAAAUUGAG
rnacentral:lncRNA from 1 species